rfam:TPA: Bos taurus chromosome 21, whole genome shotgun sequence.
UCUGUGGUGGUCCAGUGGCUAAGACUCCAUGCUUCCAAUAUAGGGGGCCCAGGUUUGAUCCCUGGUCAGGGAA